CCUAUUCUCCCUCUCUCUCUUUCUCCCCGGCGGCAAAUCCCGGCGGCCGCAGCUUAUCCUCCGCGGCCGGGGCUCGUCGUCCGGCCAUCGCUGCCCCUCCCCUCCGCGCCCCUCCCCUCCCCUUUGCUCCGGCCACCGCCACCCCUCACCUCCCAUCGACGCCGGCGCGGAGGAGGACGAGCGCCCCUAGGUGCGCGGCCGGGGCUCGGCGGCGGCGAGGGCGAGCUCCCCAGGGCGGCGCGGCCGGGCCUCGGCGGCGGCGGGGCCGGGGCUCGGCGGCGGCCGGAGCUCCCUCCCCUGACAGCGGGGGCGAGCUCUCCCGGGUGGCGCGGCGGGGGCGAGCUCCCCUGGGUUGGGUCGUAUCCCACAGGCAUCUGGAAUAGCUGCACUGGAUGUGAAAAAGCUCAAAGAUUCUGGUCUCCACACUGUGGAGGCUGUGGCUUACACUCCAAGGAAAGAUCUUCUGCAAAUCAAAGGAAUAAGUGAAGCUAAAGUUGACAAGAUAGUUGAAGCAGCAUCGAAGAUAGUUCCCCUGGGGUUUACAAGUGCCAGCCAACUUCAUGCACAGCGGCUGGAGAUUAUUCAAGUUACAACUGGAUCAAGAGAGCUUGACAAGAUCUUGGAGGGGGGGAUAGAAACAGGAUCUAUCACAGAGAUAUAUGGUGAGUUCCGCUCUGGAAAGACUCAGUUGUGUCACACCCUUUGUGUUACAUGUCAGCUUCCAUUGGACCAAGGUGGUGGUGAAGGAAAGGCUCUAUACAUUGAUGCAGAGGGUACUUUUAGACCACAAAGGCUCUUGCAGAUUGCUGACAGGUUUGGACUGAAUGGUUCUGAUGUAUUAGAGAAUGUGGCUUAUGCCAGAGCUUAUAAUACAGAUCAUCAAUCCAGACUUCUGCUGGAGGCAGCAUCCAUGAUGAUAGAGACCAGGUUUGCUCUCAUGAUUGUAGACAGUGCCACAGCUCUGUACAGAACUGAUUUCUCAGGAAGAGGGGAGCUAUCAGCAAGGCAAAUGCAUAUGGCUAAGUUCUUGAGGAGCCUUCAGAAGUUAGCUGAUGAGUUUGGAGUAGCUGUGGUUAUCACCAAUCAAGUAGUAGCACAAGUGGAUGGCUCUGCUAUGUUUGCCGGACCUCAGAUCAAGCCCAUUGGUGGAAACAUCAUGGCCCAUGCUUCCACAACAAGGCUUGCUCUUCGCAAGGGAAGAGGGGAGGAGCGAAUCUGUAAAGUAAUAAGCUCUCCCUGCCUGGCUGAAGCGGAAGCAAGGUUUCAGAUAGCUUCUGAAGGUGUCGCAGACGUCAAGGAUUGAGACCAAUAGACCGUCUAUCUCGGCUUACUGCUGGCCAAAGCACUUGAGCUCCAUUGCUGGCCUGCUGCUUGUUUUGUUACUGCUGGGUCAACUGCUUUGUUGCCCCUCUUCGAUGUACAGAGCACUCGGCAGAUGGGAAUGCACAUCUGCUUUGACGUUGAAUGUCACUGUUGUAUAAAACAAUGUAUGUACUGCAUUGCAUGUAAUGUGACAUCUGCUACUGAAUUGAAUCAUUCUAGUUUGUUCUGCUAAAUCAGCUGUUUUCCCAGUUUGUCUUGCAUUAUACAUUUUAUGUAUAUGGCAGCUUAUGAAUCUGUAUAGUGAGUGAAAUUAUGACAUUGUGGCAUUAUGGAUUGCAAAGGCAAAAGCCUAGAUUCUA